GGUCAGUUUACCUCCACGGGGGAGCUGCACCUGGUGGACAGGAAGUGGACGUCGUUGAUGAGAGACAGUCGUCAUCUGCUCACCUGGAGGUGCAGAGUCCAAGAAGUUAAAGACCAUGAACGUUCCACUUCCCCCCCGUGGCCUCACAUACCCUCACCUCCCCCUCAACUUCAACACCCGCCCGUCUAUAAAAAGUUCAGCCCCGAAGUGAUCCGGCCCGUACAGUCUGACGGCCCGGGGCUCGGGGGUCAAAGCGGGGUCCCGGCGUGGCGAAAGCACACGGCCAGCGGAUCGCACGCCGGCUCCCAGCGGCCCAGUGAAAGUCCAUGAAGCCAAAGAGGGUUCUGCUGGUGGACGACGCGGGCCACGUAGUACCGCCACCAGGGGACGAGUGACGGGUUCUGUUGCUCUGCUGCACGCUCACAGGGGGGGUUUGUCAGCGUCCCGUUGAUGCCUCCCGAUGGUCUAAAGGAGGGGUGGGGGAAGCGUGCCCUUCACUGCCGAGGUUUCUGCGGAUGUUGACGAUUAGUUGGUCAGUCACAAAAUCAAAUUGUGUGUAACGAUGAACCGCGAAGGGUCCGACAGAACCGGCCUUUCCCCCCCCCCGCAGGCCGCUGUUCCUUCCCCAAGCGGAACUGAGACGAUAGAAGUCUAUUUUUCUAUAGACGGCAUGCGUGUAACGAGCGGGAAACGAUGCGGUUUUUCAAAAGGAAACGCACAAAAAGAUGAGGAAUAACGUUUGGGAAGACACCGUUGGAAACUGAAUUUUGCUCAACGAUGUAAAAAGAUGGCUGUCUGAUUGACCCCCUCCCCGCCGCGUGGGCUUCGUCCACCAUCUUUGGCGUAACAUACAGAACGCCUCCCUGCGGAUACGACGAGGACAGCUUGUCAGAGACGUCUUUCUUUCCGCCGUCUCCUUCCUCAGAAGGAGCACGAACCCCUGAAACUCAAAAGCGUUUCCCCGUCAGCUCCUCACGCCGCUCUCGCCCUCCUCCCCGAAGGCAAAGAGCGGGGACACCGUGUGACGCGAAUUACCACGGGCCCGUCGGUGGCCAUAAACGCAGCAUCGAGUUCUCCCCAAACAGACGGCGGCCUGCGCGCUGACGCGGGGCCUUUGCGGGCGACGUCUUGGACGCCCCUCAGAUGGAUGUGACGGAGCCACUUAUCUCGGAGUUUAUAGGCCGGUAAUGAAACAGUAACCGGAGUCGUUUGCGCGCUUUAAAGUGGGUGUUGAAGUGGAAAUGUGCAGCGAGGCUUGGUGGAGCAUUAAGGCCUGAAGUGCGGCGAGCUGUAAACUGUGUACUCUGGACUCUCCCCGGGAAUCCUGCCUCUCACAGCCCGCCGCGGGCGGAGGAAAACGUCGGCCCCCGGCGGGCUCGGAGGGGAGAAAGACGCGCCGGGCGCGCGACGUCACGUCUGCCGGACUUGGCUUCGGU
ensembl:lncRNA